rnacentral:piRNA from 1 species
UCCAUGGUUUGCAGGCUGGGGACCCCUGCA